rnacentral:pre_miRNA from 1 species
UGUCCUUUGUGGGUCUUUUUGCGGUCUGGGCUUGCUGUUCCUAAGGUAGUAGCCAGGAAGCCCUUACCCCAAAAAGUAUCUGCACCGGAUU